UAUUUGUAUUGAGCAAAUUUUAUUGCUAUACAUAGGACCACGUCCAGAAAAACGUGACAAUAUAAAGCACGUCCAAAACAAACAUCAAAUUAUGUAAACAAAAAUACCAUUUGUAGGCUGUAUGAUCCUUUUGAAUAAAUAUUUUGACAAGGUGGAAAAACAUAGCGUUCUUUAAGAUUGGCUACUCCUAGCUGUGAAAUGCUAACAUAAGAACACAUAAAAAACAUAUCCCCCAUUUUCUAUGCUGGUAAAAUAAGAAAGAUUGCGGGACAUGCUGAUGUAACUUAUUUUAAGGCUGCUACAAUGCAUCGUGGAGGUGGCACUCAGUUAACCAGACUUAUUUUCGUAUCCGUCGUCUUGACAAUGUUAUUUGAUAGUCUUGCUGUCUCUGAAUCGUUGAAAACUUGCUUUUCCUGCGAAAGAGAUUACGAAGAAUGUUUUUUUCAUGCUUCAUCGACCACAGAUGACGAUGGACAAGGCAUAAUGUUGUGUUCUCAAGCAAGACACAAUUGCGGAAAAACAUGUAAAAACUAAAAUGGUAGCUAUGUAAACAUUCACGACGAUGGUAACUCUAAGUUAUUGAUUAUUCUUAAUGUUUCUUACUAUUUUUUGAGGAUUUGUCUUUUAUUACGCCUAAGCAACUGGCAAAGAAAGGACCCGCUUUUUUGGAAUCAAAGGAAGAACAAUAACAAUAACACAGAAAGCAUAUAAUAAUAUUGUAACAGAAUGAGUUUGCAAGGAAGCAAAUUGUCCAAACGUA